rfam:Salmo salar isolate Sally breed double haploid chromosome ssa12, whole genome shotgun sequence.
UUCUCCCAAGGAUGAAAGUCGCUCUGGAUAAGAGCGUCUGCUAAAUGACGUAAA